rnacentral:rRNA from 1 species
GACGAACGCUGGCGGCGUGCUUAACACAUGCAAGUCGAACGGAAAGGCCCUGCUUGCAGGGUACUCGAGCGGCGAACGGGUGAGUAACACGUGGGUGAUCUGCCCUGCACUUCGGGAUAAGCCUGGGAAACUGGGUCUAAUACCGGAUAGGAGCCAUUUUUAGUGUGAUGGUUGGAAAGUUUUUUCGGUGUAGGAUGAGCUCGCGGCCUAUCAGCUUGUUGGUGGGGUAAUAGCCUACCAAGGCGGCGACGGGUAGCCGGCCUGAGAGGGUGGACGGCCACAUUGGGACUGAGAUACGGCCCAGACUCCUACGGGAGGCAGCAGUGGGGAAUAUUGCACAAUGGGCGCAAGCCUGAUGCAGCGACGCCGCGUGGGGGAUGACGGCCUUCGGGUUGUAAACUCCUUUCGCUAGGGACGAAGCUUUUUGUGACGGUACCUAGAUAAGAAGCACCGGCUAACUACGUG